GUAUCACAUUCGGGAACAUUCGAUAAAAUUGGAACCAUUAUAGAGAAGAUUCACAUGGCCCUUAGCAAGGAUGACACACAAAUCGAGAAAUGAUAUCAAAGCCUAU